rnacentral:lncRNA from 1 species
AAAAACCUGCUACCAACAUUUCCUGCAGUAGCAGACCAACAAAACCAACAUAACACUGCAGCAGAAAAUUGGAUUCAUCUUGCCCUCACCUUGCAUUUUCUGUCCAAAAAGCUACCACAAACAACAUUCACACUUCUCUCCAACCUCACUCUUGCUAUGCAUUUAUGUUUUGCUGCCAAAGACUUCAAAAUGACAUGAACCUUGCCUUACCUUGCAACAUAAACCAGCAUAAAACCACACUGUCAUAGACCAACCUUGCCAACUCAAAACAGCAGAACAAGCAUCAUCUCACUAGC